UUGAUUCAUUCCAACAUACAAAGAAAAUCAAGCUGACAAAAGCAUACUAUUAGGAAUCCGAUCACAUGGCAACAGGUUCUCUCUGGAGGAUUGCUUUUUAUAAUUGAAUCUUUAAAGAAGAAAUGUCAUUCUAUUGAAGUCUCACUAGUAGGGUGUUGUCUUGCAGAUUUGUAGAUUUGAUGCAAGGAUCGGGUAGAACCUUACUGCCAAGCAGCAGUUGGAACGUGAGCUUGGGGCCAUGUCUUCCUUUAAUUAUAGGGAAAUUAUGUUCUUCCUCAUCAGGCCAUUAUGGAGGGUCUGUACUGAAUUUAGUUUAAUGGUUUUCUAUUAUCUGUUCUAGCAGUUGAGCAUUUCUUGUUGAGUUUGAGUUUAAAUGAGCUGGUCCACCUGGUUUAAAAUUACUUGUUUGGAUAGUCCUUAAAAGUUGUUGCUUUCUCUGGCUUGAUUUGUUAUGGAUUCUGAUCGAUGGGGCAGGGGUGGCCCACCUCAAGGUGUGGAGUCUGAGAGGCCACGGCUUGUUUUGGAUCCGCCAAGGGUUGAAGGUGGAGGAUCUAUGAUUGAGUCUAGGAGGACUCAGUCGAGCCCAUUCAAUGCAGGUCAUCCGAGGGAGGAGGUUUUGCCUGAGACAGGGCUGGAUUGGAGGAAGGUGGAUUCAGAGAUUGAGGUUACUGAACCCUGAUCCCAAUGCUGCUGACAGUAGUACAGGACCCCCGAAAUCCAAAUAGAAAUGCAAAACUUAAAUUCUCAAACACCAAGUCAGUCUCAGUCAGACAAAUAAGAUUGUCUUGUAUGGACUAGAUGAUCCAUCCAUUCUACCACUCUUGUCCCAUCUUGAAUGGACAAAGUAAUGGAUGUGAGGCUUGGUAAUAAAAUUCAACUUUUUAAUUUUCUUCUUGUGAUUAGUAUCAUUCUUUGGGAAAAACUUAUUUAAACUAUUUUCCUGUUGCAAGGGCCAUGGUGAAACUAGCACCAGGAUUGCAAUACACCAGCAAGCUGAUUUAGGUGUAGAAGAAUCUCAUGAAACUUCUGUUAAGGUGGAUCAUUUACCUUGUGGAAUAGUUGAAGUGAGUUCUGAUAUGGAAUUGAAGCCUCUAUGAUUGACAAGUGGUGAGAAGUUAAAGCUAAGUGGUAAGCAGUGUAUGCCGCAGAAAGAGCAGAAAUGAAACUUCAGCUGAGAGAUAAAAACAUGCAAGAUGAGAUGAUGGAUCUGAUGGAUGUGAGCAACAAAAUCCAAGAAUCUCUUAGAAGAAGCUACAGUGUACCCGAUGACAUUAACGAGGAUGAAAUUUUGGGUGAGCUUGAUGCUUUGGAAGCGGACAUGGGAACGAAGACAGAAUAUGAGGGCGUGCCGGCAUAUCUUCAAACUGAUAAGGAACCAGAUUUGGAUGUUGAACUCAAUUUGCCUUUGGCGCAAUCAUGGCAUGCAGCAGGGCCCAACAGAUAGAAUGCCCAACUUGCAAAGCAAGUUUUUGAGAUGGACUCCAUGAGGACACAUAUGUUAAAAAAAAGCUUUCAGUCUAGUUGAUAAUUGUUUAAGUCGAUCUGGUAUGACUUCAUUGAUUUGUUUUUUGUCUCUUUUACUAGUAAAUGUUAAUUUCAACACUUACACUCUUCAGUCCUACCCUUAACCCUCAAUGAUUGAUCAUAAUAGCUGAUAAAAGAAACAAUUUAUCAUAGUUUUUUUCAUGAUCCACUAUUUCAACAGUUGCUAUAAGAAUUAAGGAACCUCUUCAUUAUGACCACCCACUCUCGAAAUUGGGUUCAAUAAAGUCACCGAACCUGUUUCCAUUUGAAGGAAUCAAGGUAUGUGAAAACAGUUACGUAACGAAUGUAACUUAAUGGUAAAUGUGCUAACCAUUAGAUGUUACAGGGCCAAAAUGGCUGUUACAGAAAAAAUGGCCCUUAAAGGGGCUGAAAGAGAUUUUUUUUCAAAAAAAAAAAAAUAAAGGAAAGAAAAGAAAAGAAAAGAAAAAGGAAAAAGGCCAUAACGGCUAUUAUGUCCCAUAUCGUAAUGGUAGUGGCAGUAGCCAUUAUGGCCACCGUUACUGUUAUGGAAUACCUUGGAAGGAAUUCACAAUCAUUAAAGGUUUGCUUGUUGUAUUGUUUUUCUCUUUAUUAUUCAUUUAUUUAUUGAUUAGUAUUAGAUUUAUUUUUUUUUCAAACUUGUAAGCUGUGAAUUUUAUUUUCCUACAUAUUUGCUUUUGUGGAUGUGGCAGUCAAGAUUACUACUUGUGUUCUGCUUUUUGUUUGCAGGCUUGGUGACCAUUUGUAUUGGCUUGGAAAAUGCUUAUUCUGAUAAGGGUGCUGCUUCCAGAAAUUCCCAUGAUCCAAUUGACUCUAAUGUGAGUUGAAUUCCCAUUUGCAUUGCCAUCUUUAUUUUGCUGUUUAGCAAUGAUUAAGAAAGAGAAAGGACCCAUGCUGUUAGUUAUAUCUAAAUUAUUUAUCAAGCAUUUGAUCUUUGGACAUGUGUUACAGAUGUAUGGGAUGAAGACCAAUUUUUUAGGCCCUACAA